GAGGUAGUGGCUCGGUGGUAGAGCACUUGCCUAGCAUUGUGUGAGGCACUGGGUUCGAUUCUCAGCACCACA
rnacentral:tRNA from 1 species